UAAAUAAAUUAUAUUAGGCAAUUGACAAUAAGAAGAAGAAAAUUGGAAUGAAGCAGAGGAAAAAUGAGGGAAGUAAAGUGAAAACUGAAAUUAGAAAGAAGAAAAAUCGUUUCUACUUGGAAUAGACGAGGAAAAAUUAAUUGGAAAGAAAUGAAAAGUGAAACGUAGGAAAAUGUGCAUAGUGCGAAUAAGCCAUAUAACGUCGUAAAAUUGUGCGAGAUAAAUCUUUGAUUAAGGGGCCGUGAAAUUGGGUCGAAUCACGUAUCCAUAAAUCUUUCUGAGGACAGGUAGUUUAUAUGUUUAAAUAUUAGGCCGAGGUGAAGCUGCUGAUCCGUAUAUUACCGUCGUAAUUUGAAGGAAAUUUGGUCGAUAAAUUAUGCCGCCUAUAAAUUCUCUCAUCCCAAAAGAGGGCAAAAUUACUCCAUCUCAGUGUAAUAUCAUUAUUUUUAUAAAUUCUACCAUUUUUUCCAUCAUGAUUUUUUUUUUUUUUUUACAAAAAUGUCAUUCAAACCUUACGGUCUAAAGAUAUUAAUUGUCAGUCUUAUUAUUAGUUUAAUUAUGUUAAUUCUAUUCAUUUUUUCGUAUUACGGAUAUUUUUUCAACACUCGCAAAAUUGAAAAUUGACGUAUGCAAUCCUUAACCAAACAAAACGAAAUUAAAAUCGAAGCAAAGUAUGGAUUAAAACAUUUCAUAACAUCAACGUAAGAGAUUGAUAGCGAAAUUUUGUUGGCUGGCUUUCGCGACGAUAAAGAAUAAUAACGACGUACAAAAAAAAUGUAUUCAUAAAAUGUUUGAUUCACCUGCGUGACGUGCGAUUUUUAUCAAUGAUAUAUGAUACUGAGAUUGCGUUGUGAAAAUUCACAUUUUUUUUUUCAACAAAAUGAAUAUUGAAAGAAGAAGCAAAACUGACAAAAUAGAAAUACUGAAGGGGAGAUAGGUUUGAAAUUCAUUAACGAAGAUUGAUUGACACUUCGCAAUGUAUCCUUUUAACAUUUCACAAAUUGGUUUGGGCUUUCGAAGAAUGUAAGAAAAAAGUAUUCUAACUCGAUUGGAAACAAAAAAAAAAAAAAAAUACGCGCUAGCAAAAUUUUCUUUGAAAUUUAUAAAACUUGCGCCUUGUAUCACAAAAUACGUAAAAACAAAACAAAUGAUUACGUUCCGUGAAAUAAAACUCGCAUUAACUCGAAAACGAGAACAAUCGAUAAAUGAAACACCAUUGGUUAAACUGCUGAUUAAAAAUUGAAUAUCUCAUCUUUGUUGUUAAUAACUAGCGAUAUUUUUUAUCUUGUUAUUUUUCAGUUUCUAUUCUUUUUCAUCAUUAAUAGGGUAAAAAUUUAUCGACAAAAUUUUCGCAAGAGCAUCGGUGCGAUAAAUCAAAUUCUAUAUAGAACCCGCGGUAAAUUAGCUUUACAUAUAUUUAGAUAUGAAUAUACACAGAACGAAUUCGUAACGACUGCAUAUUCCCUCGUCUCGUGAAACUUAAUGCGCAUGCGCUACGAUCCGAGAGCGACUGUUCGCCAGGGCGACCAACCGUCAUAAAUUUGGACGACAGUUCGCCCCGAUUUAUGUAACCACAAGAAUUUUGCCAGUUGUCGGUUGCGCUCAACUCAUUACUGUCAAAUUUUUGACGUUACGUAUAUGGCGGUGAACUAUUGUUUGUGACAGUUAUUCACCCUGGCAAAUGGCUGCUCUGGGGUUCUAUUGCGUCCGUACUAAAUCGAGCAGUCGACGGAACGUUCCAAUCGUUGAGAAUUCACUCUGUAUACCUGUUAUACAUGUAAUACAGUGUGAAAAUUUAGAAAUGAGUGCACAAUCAUUACAUGUAACUCGCGACCUAAUUGUUUUCCAACCCUGCAAAUCAUUGCGAUAAUUUUUUGAUUUCUGACUUAUUUUUCAUAAGUCAAGAGAAAUUUUGUCAUGAAUCGAAGAGAAACGAUACUACCAAACGGAAGUCAUUCAUGGCAACGAUGUAAAUAUACAACACAUUGAUUAUACUGGGUUAUUUCCGUGAAGCGCUCCAUAACGACUCCUAGUUCCAGGCAAUUCGGGAUACACAUACACUCUGGCAAUGAGUAUACUCUGUUCUACGAGAGAACGACACAACGUCACGCAGGUUCGGGAUAGCGAAGCUCACUCGCAAUCAGUAUCGUAUCCAUAAUAUCGUGCAUUUGUCCCCUACGCCAAAAAUCCACGCUCUGUGAAAGAACUAACAGGUGAAAUAACGCGAACACAGCGGUCUCAUUACAUCACGAAUAAAUUCAUUCCACUUCUUCGUCAAUAUGUAUUUAUCGAACAGAAUAACAAAGCCACAAUUCAAAAUUGACAAUUCCGAACUCACUCGCAACGUUGCUGACGAUUGACGCUCCACGGUUUGAAUUGAUUUGAAAUUAACCGUUAGGUUUGGAAUCAAGCGUUAGGUUUAAAAUGAAUCGUUAGGUUUGAAAUUAGCAAUUAGGUUUGAGUACCUGGAUACCCUUGUCGGCUAUACUCGGGUCUGGUCGGCUGCUAGACCAGUUCGGUUACCUGAAGAGGGUAAAGUGGGCGUAGCAUUGAACUGGAUCUGACCACACCGAACGCGUUUGGCUUGGUGAGCGUGUCGAUCUCUCGUCGAACAGAGUUACAGAGCUUCAAGUUUCACAAGGGAGACAUAAGCCGCGCGCUAGCAGAAGACCGAUGGCCAAAGUCAACCGGUGAAACUCGAAGCUCUGCUCAGAAUGUACGUGUAUCCUUGGGGUGGUUCUUAUUUGCCCGUUGUUCGAAUUUAAAUUGUGCCGCCCACUCGUUUGCUUCUAAAUUGAAAAAAUUCAUAUUUUGAGCCUAAUUUGAAUGUCCGAACUUAAUUUUUACCAUCCGCUGUAACGGCGCGAAGUUUUCCACUUAUAUACACGUGAUUUUUAUCUUCUAAUGUUAUUAUUUUACUGAAACAUCUGACCUUGGAGGAAAAAAAUUAAUUUUUUAUGGAUUUGACGGGGAUCGAUGCUACUUUCAAGGCGAAUAAAAAAUUAAAAAAUGUAACGGUCAUUCUCUAGGCAUUUUUAUCCUGCUUAUUUGAAUAUUUUUCUAUUUUUUAAAUUGAAAGCAGAUGGUUGUCACCUAAAUAUUUCUUUGAUGAUUUCGUUAUAACCUGAAAUUCUUCAUAUUAUGUUUCUAGAUAACCUGAAUGCGUAAUAAGCGUAAUUUAUGACUGAUAUCUUGCUUUUUUGCUACCAUUUCCAAUUAAAGCGGCAAAAAAUAUUCAAAUAAGCAGGGUAAAAAUGCAUUAGAAUGGCUAAUACAUUUUUACUUUUUAAAGCGCUAUCGAUCCCCGUCAAUUCUAUACAAAAAUUAAUUUUUUUCAUCCAAGUUUACAUGUUUCAGUAAAGUAAUAACAUUAGAAGAUAACAAUCACGUGUAUUUUAAAUGAAAAACUUUGCGUCGUCACGGUAGAUAGAAAGAAAUCAAGUUAGGACAUUCGUAUUGGGCUCAAAAUUUUUAUUUUUUUAUUUAGAAACAAACGAGGGGCAGCACAAUUGAAAUUUUAAUCCCUGUGGCUCGUAUCAAGGAAACAGCCUGUUAUAAAUUAUAGAAACGUCGAAUUGUAUAGCUGCGAGUUACAUAACUAGUAACAACAAUAAUAAACUCAUAAGUAUAUACAUAUAGGUAAAAUUAGAAUAUGAAAUAAAUGGAAACAUAAACGUGAAAUUUGAAAACGAAAAAUGUGAAAAAAUACACUAAUUACAUGUGUAGGAAUGAACGUUAUAUAUAAUACUACAGGUGUUUAGACGAUAAUGAUACGAAAAUAAAUUAUAGGAAACUCAUCGUAAACGUUCGACUAAUCUCGUGUAUAUAUAUUAUUAUAUGUAUUAUUAUAUGCAUAUACAUGUUUACAGUAUACACAUACUUGUGACAAUAUAACAAAUAUAUAUUAUAUACUAUACUAACAGCCAAGUUCAGAUAAACAAGCUGCAGCAACGGCAUUAUUUUCUAAAAAAGGAAGAAAGGCGAAUAGUUGUAAUACAAUGCUAAUCGUUUAAUGACGUACUAUGAUUUUAAAAGAUGUGAGAUGAAGGUGUUAAAAAAAAAAAAAAACUGAGUAUAUCAAAUAAUGAGAAAACGAAAAUAAGGGAGAUGAUAUUUCGGAAAUACUUUAUACUGGCAAAAGGAGAAAAAGCGGUAACUAAGAAAAAAAAAAAAAAAAAUUGGAUAAAAAGAAAAACUGGAAACAGAUUAAAAAAAAAAAAAUACUAAGUGCUAUAUAUGUAAGAUUAGCAUGUAUAAAUAUUAUAAUAUGUAUAUAUAUACAUAUAUACAUAUAUUUAAAUUAUACACGUUAUGUUACCAAACGCAUUUAAUGCGGGGUAAAAAUAUUUUUUAUGUGUUGGUGAUUAUAAUUAUCAUGAAUACAUUAUAUAGUAAUGAUAGUACGAUUGAUUUAUUAUUGAAAAUAGACACAUACGAGCGUUGCGAGGAUAUAAUAACGGUAUAAUAUUGAUUGUGAACCACCAAGUGGGAAAUCUAAUUAUACAUAUACAUAUAUGAUAAUGCUAUACGCUAAAUACGCUAUGUUACAUGAUAAAUGCUAUAUAUAUAAACAUAUAUAUUGGAUAAUAAUUGACAUGAAAUGUUGCUGAAAUAUGACGUACACAACACAUAUACAUGUAUAUAUGAAUAUACUCAUAUAUUAGACUGCCUCAAAAAGAAGACUUAAUAUUUUUUUUUUGUAUUUCCACUUCAAGAAAUCAUAGUUUUCAACAUAAUAUUGAACCUCGUAAAACCAAAUUGCCAUACGAUUUUUUUAAGCGGUGUCGCACCGAGAUUUCGUAUUCGCCUUUUAAUUAACACGUAAGAAACCGAAUUCUGACGGUUGGAGGGAGAAAAUAUUUUUUUUAUACUACGAACGGAGCUCUCUAUGGUAGCAUUUGACAACUUGUACGUUUUGUUCGAAUCGACGCAUCGUAGAAAAUUUUCAAUCACACGGUAAUAUCUCUCUCGCACUCAUACAUCAAUUAAUCCACUUUCACAGACUAUUAAGAAUUAUAAGUGGAAAUUCAUUGUUUAAACAAAUUAAUAAAUUUAAUGUUUUUCACGUAUUCGACAGAUAUUGUUCAACAUUUUAUUGUGACCCAGUUUAAGAAGCUGGGCGUUUUUCCUAGGUACCCAUUUUUCGAAAAGGUCAAAAACGACGUCUUAGACAAUCUUGAAUACCUCGAAGAUCGUGCGGUUAAAAAUUUUCCACGUAGCACCGAUUCGAAGAAAACAAGUAAGUUGUCAAACGCUACCAUUCAGAGUUACGUCCGUUAUAUAGAAAAAUUAUUAUCUCUCUCCGACCGUUAGAAUUGGGUUUCUUACGUGUUAAUUAAAAGGCAAAUUGAAAAACUGAAUGCGGCACCGCUCAAAAAAAUCGCACAACGAUUUACUUUCAAGAGGUUCAAUAUUAUGUUAUAAACUAUGGUUUCAUAAAAUGGAAGAUCAAAAAUAAAAUGAAGAUUUCUUUUGAGGCGGUCUAAUAUAAAUAUAUAUAUAUAUAUAUAUAAGUAUUUUGUAUACACGUAAGGUAAGAUGUAUGCAUUUCGAGUUUCUCAAUAUGCGGAAUGACGCGUGCGGUUUAUUUAAGCAACCGGAGUUACGUCUCUCAUUUCAGGUUGAGUGUCGUGUCGUCCCAAACUUUACCAAAAAAUAAAAAUUGUUAUUCAGGAUGACUGUGGCAGGAUACGAAGUUCAACCUGAAAUCAGAGCUGUAACUCCGAUUGUUUGAACAAGGCGCACGCAUCGUUCCACAUAUGGAGAAACUCACGGUAUAAACCUAAUCGAUAUCAAUGUACGGUGUAUUCCGUCCAAUUUGUCUGCUGUUAAAAACUGAGUGUCCAGAAAUUUGAUCCAUAUUUUUUUAUACCAUUAACAGUAACUCAUUUCAGACUAUUUUGCAAAUUUACUUACCUCUAGUAACGUAUUUAUGAAUGAAAUACGCAAUAUUGAUGCAUACUUCGUUCACUGGAUGGAAUAAAUUGCUCUUAAAAUUAUCCUCAAAUUUUCAAGCUCGAAAAAUAAUAAAACGAACGACUAUUUUGUGGAAAAAUCUGACGAAGAAAACGUUCGUGGAUGAAUUUCGGUUGAAGGAAAAAAAUCAUGAGACAUUCUUUAUCCAAGUCGGCAUGGAAUACACUAUACAUUGUAUAGAUAUAUUAAUGAUGAUGAAUCAUUGUUAGCGUUUUAUCAACGGUUGAAUGUAAUAUCGUAUACACAUAAAAUGAGUGUUUACUGUUAAUUGGGCAAACUUUUUCAUCAAUCACAGUAACGAUGAAAUUUUUACACAUUUUACCAGAUUUUCCGAAGUGAGCGUGUGAGAAUUUCUGUUAUAAGAGAAAAGCUUAUACCCCAGAAAAAUCUUUCGAGCAGAAUCUAAUUUUUGUAAAAAAAAUUCUCUGUAACUUCUCAGUUUCUUGACCUCUUUUCUUGAAUGUUGUACCAGGUAAUUACAAUUAGAUUGAAAAAAAAUAUAUAUAUAUAUGUUCGUAAGUAAAUAGAAAAAAUAAAUAGAUUGUCUUCUCAAUUGAUUGUCUAAUAACAAUGUGACAGAUUAUAAGGGGUAUCAAAUCGAUGAAUGCAAAAAGUGGCCCAAUUGACUAAUUUUAAGACGAUCCCUUGUACAUAGAUAUGUACCAUAUACAUAUACAUUAUAAAAUAGAUUUCAAUCUGCAUCGUGAUUGAAAUGUAGAAACGAACGAGAUGAAAAAAAAAUAAUAAUACGAAACAGUAUCGUAUACAUACUAUACUAUAUACUACAUAUACUAUACAUAUACCGAUGGUACAAAUACGUAUAAUGAUAAAAAUAAUUACGAUAAUGAUAAUAAUCAGCCGCGAUCACGUCAAUAGAUCGAAAUAUUGCAUUGAAAAAUAGCAUUUAGUAAGAGUUUCGGAGAAAAGGAAUAUAUUAUACUAGAAUAAUUAUGCUUGAUCGUAAAUAUAAUAUGAGAACGUCAAUACGCAGUCAGUGAGCUUCAAUUUUUGUUUCAACAAUUAUUAAAAAUGAUGAACAAUUUUUUUUCAAUCCGCAGUGAAACUCAUUUGAAGAAGAGGCCGAUUUGAAGCCACUAAAAAAGUAUAAAACAACUAUUAACAAAGUUGAAUGAUAAGGAAUUGGAAAAAAUAAACAAAGAAACACAUUUUUUCCAGACAAUUCAGAGAGUAAGUGAAAAAAAAAAAAUGAAGAUAGAUUAUAACAUUAACGAUAGUAAUAAUGAUGAUGAUAAUAAUGAAAAUGCCGACUAUAAAACUGCAAGGCAGACAGUAUUUAAUUAUAAUAUAUCAUAUACACAUAGUUAUAAGCAUAGGCGUACACAUUAUAACAAUGUUGCAUAAAAUGCGUAUGAUAUAGUUUAUUUAUAAGACGUCGCAUAAGUCAUUGUUGAUCGUAGAACACAAAAGUUGAAAAAAACAAACAAAAAAAAUUGGUAACUUGUAAUGUUGUAGGGACUGUUUAGGGAUAGAUUUAAACACGUACGUAUGCAUGUCGGUACGCGAAUUUUGUGAUUGCACGUAUCAUUUUUUCGUUAUCGAAAAAUACUUUCAAUUCACGCACCCAAAUACGAAGUGUGAAAUAACGCAGGGAAAAGUAAAAAUGUUGUUUUUGGAAAUAUUGAUUCAUAUUUUUUUUUUUUUUUUUUAUGGUAAAAUUAUUUGUAUUGAAUAAUCCUAAACUAACCAUGUACUACGAUCAAGCAUAUACGUAUAUAAUACAGAUAUACGCCAUACAUUAUAUAUAUAAUGAUUUAUAAAGCAAAUUGUAAUAAUUUCCUUUUAGCUGAAAGAGAAGCUACAUCUGCAACUGUUAUUAUCACUGUUACGGAUUUUUUAAUUUCAUCAAUCACACUAACCGAAACUUGUACAAAUUUUGUAAAAAAAAAAGUUGUGAUGAUGACUUUCGAUACCGAAGAGUCAUGAACUCGGGUGUCAUUUUCAUCCCAAUUAACGCGUAUGGUGAAUAUAUAAAAUGUGUUUGUAAACAGUCAUUGUAAUAUCGUAUACAGAUACUGGGCUAUUUUGCGAAAAUAUCACACAGGCUAAAUCAGCCUGCACCUCGAUAACCGGUCAUACAUUUUUGUGAAACGAAUUGCAUGAGCGCGGACGGUAGGUAGCCUAAAUCCGCCUGCAUUUCCGCAAUUCGAGAUACACGCUUAUCGAAAUCCGCCUGCACUUUGACAACCAGCAUUACAUUUUUGUAAAAUCAACUCGAAGUUGCAUAAAUGCAGGCGGAUAUAUAUAUCCCGUGUGAUAUGUACGUGAAAUAACCCGAUGUAUAAAUAAAUAGCAUAUGAGCUUUUUUAGGAACAUGUUACGAGAGUUUUCACCGUUUAGUCGUAAGAUUAUGUCAUGUAAGUGUUCUAGAAUAAUAUUUUUUUAAGGAUAAAGGUGAGGAGGAAAAAGCCAGAUAUAAUAUAUAGUGAAAAAUGUUGACUGAAUCCUAGGGAUAAUAACAUGUUGCGUACAUCGGCACUUCUUUGAACAGCACAAAUACUGCACCUUAAUUAUUACGCUAAAUUAUUAUCGAUACAUGCGUAACAAUGAUAUAUAAUGAAACACAUAUUUAUAUUAUGAUUGUUGUCAUUAUGAUAUUUUAUGGAUAUACAAAAUCGUAUAUAGCGUAAAUACUUAUGUGAUGACUUACUCAUAUUAACUGCGGAGCCUUGCAUUGUCAUAUGAAUAUAAUUAAUUGAUACUGAUUAACCACUAUUAUACUGUAAUUGAUAUUAAUCAGAUUUUUCCUUUUUUUCAACUUCCGUUCCUCUUUUUUUGGGAAAAAAAAGAAAAAUAAAUAAAUAACGGAAGUUAUUGAUGUCUUAUUUGGUGAAGUAUUUAUUUAUUUAUUCAUUCAUCCACUUUUUUUUACGUUGUAUUAUUUAUGUGCAACUGGUUAAUGAAUUUUCUAUCAAUUUUCAUUUCUACUCUCACUUUAUAUUCUUUAAAUUGAUAUUUCGAUAUCGUUUACAUAGUUCGUUGCCUUCGAGAGAUGAUAAAAAAAAAAAAAAAAACUUAUAGAACAACAAAAAGAAUCGGUAGUUAGAGAAUUUGGUUGAUUGAGAGGGAAAAAAGGAUGAGAAAUAGAACGCUAACUGUCUUCCUUAGUAUCCAGGCAACAAUGAAUUAUGGUGUAGUAAUAAUAAUUAUAGGUAUUUCAAAUAAAAUAAGGCGACGAAAUUUAAUAAUAACCGACAAUACUGUGUGAACAGACAAUAAAUAUUUCUUAGCGAAUGUUCCAAGAUGGACAAUAAAUAAUUAUGAAUAUUAAACUGUACGAUAUAUAAUACUAAAUAAUGAUCAAGGUACAUGUAAUAUAACAUAAUAUAAUAAUACGUAUAUUAUAUGUAGGACACAUGUUAGUAGAUAGGUGAUAGAAUUUAAAUAAUAUAUACUGUUUAAUAGAAGCUGUGAAUGAUUAAGACACGUAUUAACUUGUAUAAAUACGCAUAGCCAUUACGAAUACAUAAAAUUAUUGUUAAAUGAAAAAACAAAAUACUUAUAAACGGUAUAAUGAACGAAUUUUAUGACAAGGGCAAGAUUUAAAACACUUCUCGAAAAUUUUUACUUUUCCGUUGCUGCCAGAGAAAAAACGAUGAUAUUGUUUCGGUCGAUUUCUAUGUAAAACAGGAUUCGUUUAUCUUCCAUUUCUCGAAGCUUAAAAACAAACGAAAAGAAAAAUCUAUCGUAUUGGCGAGAAACGAUAAUCAAAAGUCAAUAUUUGUAGUCAAUUGAGGAGUAGCAUACCGUUACAGACGUAUUAAUCUUUUCGUUUUUUUAAAACAAAAUUCAGACGGCGCACAGUUGGAGAAUAAAUUUUCAACGAGGUUGGUCAAUUGUUCGAUAUACAAUACAUAGUUGUUACCUAGUCUAGCCAAUUUUAUAUAGACAUUUUAUUCUUUAACCACGACGUUUGGUAAAGCGUACAAACUCUACCGAAAAGUAACCAAUAUUUCAGAGUUUCUAUUAAUUCCCGAUAGCAUUCGCACACUCGCAUCAGUUUUCUUCGGCGUUAAGGAUAGCGAAAAGAAAAAAAAUCGUUACGCAUGAUACGUAGACUGAAAAAGAAACUGAAAAACAUUUAUUUGAGACAAGUGUAUCAUGUGCUUGGAUUCGAGUGAAUAAAAAUUCCGUGAGAAAAUGGUAAAAAAAAGAGAAACAAAAAAAAAAAAAAAAAUAACUAUCAUACCCAAUGAAUAACUUGCGCAACUUUUUUUUUUUUUUUAAUCACCGUAAUACACAGCAAAGCAAUUUAGUUACAGUCACUAAACAUUUAUAGUACAUAGUCACAGUUGCACGGAAUAUACAGCAACUAUAUGUAUAAACAAUAAAGAAAUACUAUUCGAAGCAAUUGAAGAACUGUUUGAAUUCCAAAGAUUCCGAAUGAAUAACCAUUUCAACGUAUAAAUAUUUUUGAAUUGAACAACUAUUCUCAGCUGAAUAGUUAUCAAUUGACAAAUGAAAACUAUGCAAGUUCGAUGUUUAGUUGUAUGUAAUUGUUAUUUCUUUUUGGCGAUGGAUGAGAAAAAAGAAAAAUUCGAUCAAGUAAAUAGAGUUGGUAUUCUAUUCAAUGGCGAUACAAUUUUUUUUUUUUUUUUACAGUUUACGCAUCAUGCGCGAUACUAUUUUUAUGAAAUGCAUACAUUUAACGCUAUGCAAUACUUACCGCGCACAAAUAAAAAGUGAAAAUACGUAUGAUUUGAAAUAUUUUACCUGUAUACCGAUCAUUUGCAUAAUACGUUUUAAAGAUAGUUUAAGAACGAUGAUGAAUUUAUAUAAAUAGUAAUAAUAAAAUCGCAUGUAACUACUCCUGUCAAGUCAAUGUUAAAUAGCAAAAUAUAUUAGAAGUUUAUAUGAUAUACACAGUAAGAUACGCGUAUUCAUUUGUUGAUAUACAUUAUGUAACAAUAUGAUAUUCGAGAUUUAGAUAAACCAUAACAUAAAUCGGCAUAAAUUAUUGCACACGAAUUUAUGUACUGUAAUCAUGCAUUACGGUGAAUUGAGAAAACCGAGAUUUUCAAUUGUGAAAUUAUAAACAAUGUCGGUACAUCGUUGUUGAUUUUCAUUUGUCGCAACCACAAGUAAACGAGCAUAAAAUUUUAAUUGACAAGUCCCGCUUUAUUUUUCUCAACAAAUUUCGACCAUUUGUUUAAAUUCCUCAUUCUCACCGUUCCUAUUUCUUGCAAGUUCCAUGAAUAAAAAUAUCUAGCAAGUGAGAAGUGACAGACAAUCGCAAAUUGCCGUCGUGCGAUAUUUCCAAGUUUUCAAUCCUCGCGACUAUCUAUUCGACGGAAAACUUGCCGAGGUACUUAUAAUUCAUUUACAAAUUAUCCUCAUCAACGAGUAACCGCUAAUCGUAUUAUCGAGAAGAAUCGAAUUAAAUUUGAUCUUCAAACUAUAUUAUACAUGAUUAGAGAAAAUGAAUAAACUAGAGAUUUAAAAAAUGUGAAAAAAUUAUCGAAAAAAUAUUUGUGGGAGGAAGAAAAAGUUAUACAAAAACUGCACGCACAGCCGGAAUAUACGCUUAGGAUAAACAGAAGCGAAAGAAUAAAUAGAAAAAAAAAUGAAGAUAAAAAAAGGAAAGAAUUUAUAGUAAAAUGUUCAGUAUUCAGUCCACGUAUAAAUACAUAUAUACAUAUAUAUAUAUAUAUAUAUACAUACAUAUAAUAACAUUAUAGUACGUAUAAAUGAAUGUAAGUGAUAUUCUUGUACAUACAUAUGUAAAGUUGAACGGUUUACCAAUGUAAUACUAUACAUUAUUAACGAUAAUGAUAACUAUAUUGACUAUACACUGAUGAUCUUUGUCUAGUACUGAACUUGGUACAGCUUUAGCGGUGAUCCUUCCCACAACAUGAAUAUACAUAUAUAGGUAUGAUCGUACACUUUUAGUAACAAUGAAAUAGGAUGACGGGAAAAUAUGUUUAAUGACAAUAAUUGAAUGUGAGAUAAAAUAUAGAGUUACAUAUGCAUAUUAUUAUUAUUGUGCCGGUGAAGUGCGGUAAGAAGAAAUAAUAAUUGAUUUGAAAAAAUGAAAAACAAUAUCUCGGACCGCGCAAUAAGACAGUAAUAACUAUAAUAAAUGUAAAAGGCGUUCGAAAUAACUGAAUCGGUAAAGUAAUCAGAUGUUAUUGAAAUUUGAAAAUAAUACGUUUAGAUUAUGAAUUACGAAUGAUUGUGGAGAUUUUUUGUUGAAAAGAAAUUGACGAUGGAAGAAUCCCGGGGCGGAAAUUGACAACUACGUUACAACGAGACAGGAUGUUGCAAAUACGGCAACACCGACGGAAUAAUUCUCGAUAUUUUAUUCUCAAUAUGGGACUUAUUGUGGAUAUACUUAAUGUAAUUAUGUUUGCUUUGCGGUACACGGGAAAUAUUCUGAUCGUGAAAUCAAUGAUAUUCGAGAAUAUGUAGAAAAAGGUAAUAAACAUAUUCAGAUUAUUGUUGUUAUUGUUAUUAGUUUAUCAUAAAUACCACGUUAAUAGCAUUAUGAUUAUUGUAACAACUGAGCCUUUAUAAAAAAUGACGCGAAACAAAUUUAACAACAAUCGACAGAUAAUGGUUGAUAAUAAUUACCGACACUCUGAGAUUUAUAAAAUUUUCUGAUCUGUGAAACAAAAUAGUUUAUAUAUAUAUAUAUAUAUAUACAUGAAUAUAUAUAUAUAUAUAUAUAUGUAUAACUAAAGUAAUAAUAAAAAUUUGUACACUGCAUGUCGAAUUGUGCGUGUCACUGUGAUGGGUAUAUAGAUAUAUAUUAUAUAUAUAAUGAAUCGAUAUAUUUAUACAUCGUAUAUACAUAUUAUAUAUUAUAUAACUAUAUCUAUACACUGUAAUACACCAAUAACCAAUUACUAUACACACCCAUAUACACAUAAUAUAAUAUAUGCUUUGUUACGUAAUUGAUAUACCUAUAGCUGAAUUAUACGAUAUGUAAUAGAUUGUUGUAUCGUGAUAAAAAAAAAAAAAAAACUCAUCGUCAUCCGCAUCUAUCCAUAACAUGAAUCUCGUUGUUACUCAAAUGAUUUUUCGUAAUUUGUGAGAAGAAUCGCUAAUACAUACUGCGUUGGAAAAUUAAUCAACUUGUGAUGAAGGAUGAGAAAAAAAAAAAAAAGAAAAAAACAAGAAUCCUUUCACGUUUGUAUUAUUUAUUUUUUCUCUAUUAUUUCUUUUUCCUUGUUAAUCGAAACGUUCAUCACCGCAGACUUUAUAUUAGUGCUCAAUUGUAUUACGAUUAAGAAAAUUAUUUUGUAAACGAGAUCCCUCAAAUCGAGCUAAAUAUGUACAUAUAUAUACAUAUUUACACGCGUAUAGACAAUAAUGCUACAUUAUAUGUAGGAAUUAGUUAGGUAAUAACAAAGAGAAGAAUGAUAUGAUACAAAAUAUGUCCAGACAGAUGAUCAUAUGAAUAUUUGGCAAACACGUCACGUUCGUAGAAUAUUUUAUUUCUUAGAGCCUAGCAAAACAAUUGAUGAAAACAAAAAAAAAAAAAAAAAUGUGACGCAAUAUUUUUUGAAGCCACAUUUACUUACCGCAGCCUUUGAAAA
rnacentral:lncRNA from 1 species